rnacentral:rRNA from 1 species
GACGAACGCUGGCGGCGUGCCUAAUACAUGCAAGUAGAACGCUGAAGGAGGAGAUUGCUUCUCUGGAUGAGUUGCGAACGGGUGAGUAACGCGUAGGUAACCUGCCUGGUAGCGGGGGAUAACUAUUGGAAACGAUAGCUAAUACCGCAUAAUAGUAGAUGUUGCAUGACAUUUGCUUAAAAGGUGAAAUUGCAUCACUACCAGAUGGACCUGUGUUGUAUUAGCUAGUUGGUGAGGUAACGGCUCACCAAGGCGACGAUACAUAGCCGACCUGAGAGGGUGAUCGGCCACACUGGGACUGAGACACGGCCCAGACUCCUACGGGAGGCAGCAGUAGGGAAUCUUCGGCAAUGGACGGAAGUCUGACCGAGCAACGCCGCGUGAGUGAAGAAGGUUUUCGGAUCGUAAAGCUCUGUUGUAAGAGAAGAACGAGUGUGAGAGUGGAAAGUUCACACUGUGACGGUAUCUUACCAGAAAGGGACGGCUAACUACGUG